rnacentral:rRNA from 1 species
UGCGCAGGCGGGCAUUUAAGUCAGUGGUGAAAUACUGCCGCUUAACGGUAGAACUGCCAUUGAUACUGCAUUUCUUGAGUAUGGUUGAGGUAAGCGGAAUGUGUCGUGUAGCGGUGAAAUGCAUAGAUAUGACACAGAACGCCAAUUGCGAAGGCAGCUUACUAAGCCAUUACUGACGCUGAGGCACGAAAGCGUGGGGAGCGAACAGGAUUAGAUACCCUGGUAGUCC